AAUUGUACUACUUUACAGGGAAUGCUCAGCUUGUUUCUAAGUACCGAAAUCAGUAAGUUGUCGUAGGCAGAUUUUAUAUCUAGGAAAGCUGAUAUGACCGAGUGUUUGUUAGAAAAUGCAAUC